rnacentral:rRNA from 1 species
UACGGAGGGGGCUAGCGUUGUUCGGAAUUACUGGGCGUAAAGCGCACGUAGGCGGCUUUGCAAGUUAGAGGUGAAAGCCCGGGGCCCAACUCCGGAAUUGCCUUUAAAACUGCAUCGCUAGAAUUGUGGAGAGGUAAGUGGAAUUCCGAGUGUAGAGGUGAAAUUCGUAGAUAUUCGGAAGAACACCAGUGGCGAAGGCGGCCAACUGGACCAUUACUGACGCUGAUGCACGAAAGCGUGGGUAGCAAACAGG